rnacentral:pre_miRNA from 1 species
UCUUAUGGGUGAACAAAGAAAGUGGUUCUUGAGAUGGAAUCUACUCCUGGUGAAGAUGCUGUGAA